AGCACAAUUGCUGGGCCGUAUGGUAAGAGUAUGUUUUGUUUUAUAAGAAACUGCCAAACUGUUUUCCGUAGCGGCUGUACUAUUUCACAUUCCCACCAGCAGU
rnacentral:pre_miRNA from 1 species